rnacentral:rRNA from 1 species
AGAGUUUGAUCCUGGCUCAGGAUGAACGCUGGCGGCGUGCUUAACACAUGCAAGUCGAACGAACCUUCGGGUUAGUGGCGGACGGGUGAGUAACGCGUGAGAAUCUGCCCUCAGGAGGGGGAUAACGGUUGGAAACGACCGCUAAUACCCCAUAUGCCUACUGGUGAAAUGAAUUUCGCCUGAGGAUGAGCUCGCGUCUGAUUAGCUAGUUGGUGAGGUAAUGGCUCACCAAGGCUUCGAUCAGUAGCUGGUCUGAGAGGAUGAUCAGCCACACUGGGACUGAGACACGGCCCAGACUCCUACGGGAGGCAGCAGUGGGGAAUUUUCCGCAAUGGGCGAAAGCCUGACGGAGCAACGCCGCGUGAGGGACGAAGGCCUCUGGGCUGUAAACCUCUUUUCUCAAGGAAGAAGAUAUGACGGUACUUGAGGAAUAAGCCACGGCUAAUUCCGUGCCAGCAGCCGCGGUAAUACGGGAGUGGCAAGCGUUAUCCGGAAUUAUUGGGCGUAAAGCGUCCGCAGGCGGCUUUUCAAGUCUGCUGUUAAAGCGUGGAGCUUAACUCCAUCAUGGCAGUGGAAACUGAAAGGCUUGAGUAUGGUAGGGGCAGAGGGAAUUCCCGGUGUAGCGGUGAAAUGCGUAGAUAUCGGGAAGAACACCAGUGGCGAAGGCGCUCUGCUGGGCCAUUACUGACGCUCAUGGACGAAAGCCAGGGGAGCGAAAGGGAUUAGAUACCCCUGUAGUCCUGGCCGUAAACGAUGAACACUAGGUGUCGGGGGAAUCGACCCCUUCGGUGUCGUAGCUAACGCGUUAAGUGUUCCGCCUGGGGAGUACGCACGCAAGUGUGAAACUCAAAGGAAUUGACGGGGGCCCGCACAA